CCCACAACUCCAAUCUGUUUCUCAUGUUUCCUCUCUAUCAGUUUCAAAAUUUUUGAACCACCACCUAUUGAGAAGGCCCUUUCAUCCUCGUUCAACAGCCCCUAUGGAUUUUAGUUUGAAGAGGAUUUAUUGUUUUAUCUUAUUUGGUGCCCUAAUCAGCACCACACCCACCAAUCGGGCACCAGACGCACCCCCACCUUCAACCUCCGUCUUCAUCCACCGCUCCGAAACCAACACCAGCAGCCGUCAUCACCAACAACCCAUCGUCAUCACCAACAACCCACUAACAUCCAAGAUGGGUAACCCACUAACAUCCAAGAUGGGGGUUAUAAACGGUUUUACACAAGAUCUACAUUAGAGUCAUCAGACUAUCUGAAAGUUGUUUGUCUUAAGAUUUAUUGCCGUGUUGGUGUCGUUGGGUCCCGCUUGGAACACCCUAAGACAUACUCUAUCCAUGUGCCACCUUUGGAUAUCCGUCAACACUUUGGUCAACUCCUUGAAUCUGGAAAGGGAACCGAUGAUUCUUUUGACGUAAAAGAUUUCAAUAUUGGUCGGGGAUUUCUUGCUUUUUAGAGCUGGUAUUGCCCUUGCUUUCUUGAAGAACACCAAGGUUGUACAUUAAUAGCAACAGCAACUAUCAAUGAUCUUUUGGCUUAGUGGUUAAAGGGGAGGUGAGAAUACUAACUUGGUAAUACUAACAUAAUAACUAUUAACCCGGUUAGUGAUAUUCUAACCGUACACCGUUCAAAAAAAAUUAGCAACAGCAACUGAGUAUCUUGUUAUUGGGGAGGCAAUGCAAAUGGGCUCAUCAGCAGAUUAGUGUAGUAGGAAUGUUACUUUUUUUUUUCAUUCAAAACAUCACAUAAUUUUAAUAUUAGCAAUAUUGCAGCGAGUUUAGUAUUUUACACUUUGCUAGACACAGUUUUAACAAAGUCUUUGACUGUAGUCAAAUGUCUUAGUUAUCCUUUGAAUUUGAUGAGUACAAAAUAGGGGGUAUAUUUUAUAAAACA